rnacentral:rRNA from 1 species
UAGGGAAUCUUCCGCAAUGGACGCAAGUCUGACGGAGCAACGCCGCGUGAGUGAAGAAGGAUUUCGGUUCGUAAAACUCUGUUGUUAGAGAAGAACAGCGCAUAGAGUAACUGUUAUGCGUGUGACGGUAUCUAACCAGAAAGCCACGGCUAACUACGUGCCAGCAGCCGCGGUAAUACGUAGGUGGCAAGCGUUGUCCGGAUUUAUUGGGCGUAAAGCGGGCGCAGGCGGUCAAUUAAGUCUGAUGUGAAAGCCCCCGGCUCAACCGGGGAGGGUCAUUGGAAACUGGUUGACUUGAGUGCAGAAGAGGAGAGUGGAAUUCCAUGUGUAGCGGUGAAAUGCGUAGAUAUAUGGAGGAACACCAGUGGCGAAGGCGACUCUCUGGUCUGUAACUGACGCUGAGGCUCGAAAGCGUGGGUAGCAAACAGG